rnacentral:rRNA from 1 species
UACGAAGGGGGCUAGCGUUGCUCGGAAUUACUGGGCGUAAAGCGCCCGUAGGCGGCUUUGUAAGUUAGAGGUGAAAGCCCGGAGCUCAACUCCGGAAUUGCCUUUAAGACUGCAUCGCUAGAAUUGUGGAGAGGUGAGUGGAAUUCCGAGUGUAGAGGUGAAAUUCGUAGAUAUUCGGAAGAACACCAGUGGCGAAGGCGACUCACUGGACACAUAUUGACGCUGAGGUGCGAAAGCGUGGGGAGCAAACAGG